rnacentral:rRNA from 1 species
GACGAACGCUGGCGGCGUGCUUAACACAUGCAAGUCGAACGCUGAAGGCCCAGCUUGCUGGGUUGGAUGAGUGGCGAACGGGUGAGUAACACGUGAGUAACCUGCCCUCUUCUUUGGGAUAACGGUCGGAAACGGCUGCUAAUACCGGGUAUUCACUGUCCUUCGCAUGGGGGGUGGUGGAAAGGUUUUUUCUGGUGGGGGAUGGGCUCGCGGCCUAUCAGCUUGUUGGUGGGGUGAUGGCUUACCAAGGCUUUGACGGGUAACCGGCCUGAGAGGGUGACCGGUCACAUUGGGACUGAGAUACGGCCCAGACUCCUACGGGAGGCAGCAGUGGGGAAUAUUGCACAAUGGGCGAAAGCCUGAUGCAGCGACGCCGCGUGAGGGAUGACGGCCUUCGGGUUGUAAACCUCUUUCGCUCAGGUCAAGCCGCAAC